rnacentral:rRNA from 1 species
UGAGUAACACGUAGGCAACCUGCCUGACAACCUGGGAUAACUUCCGGAAACGGAUGCUAAUACCGGAUACAUCGUUUCUUCGCAUGAAGAAAUGAGGAAAGACGGCGCAAGCUGUCGGUGUCAGAUGGGCCUGCGGCGCAUUAGCUAGUUGGUGGGGUAACGGCUCACCAAGGCGACGAUGCGUAGCCGACCUGAGAGGGUGAACGGCCACACUGGGACUGAGACACGGCCCAGACUCCUACGGGAGGCAGCAGUAGGGAAUCUUCCACAAUGGGCGAAAGCCUGAUGGAGCAAUGCCGCGUGAGUGAUGAAGGUUUUCGGAUCGUAAAGCUCUGUUGCCAGGGAAGAACGUCCGGGUGAGUAACUGCACUCGGAGUGACGGUACCUGAGAAGAAAGCCCCGGCUAACUACGUGCCAGCAGCCGCGGUAAUACGUAGGGGGCAAGCGUUGUCCGGAAUUAUUGGGCGUAAAGCGCGUGCAGGCGGCGGUUUAAGUCGGAUGUUUAAGAUCGGGGCUCAACCC